GUGAGGAAUAUUGGUCAAUGGACGAGAGUCUGAACCAGCCAAGUAGCGUGAAGGAUGACUGCCCUAUGGGUUGUAAACUUCUUUUAUAAGGGAAUAAAGUGAGGGACGUGUCCCUUUUUGUAUGUACCUUAUGAAUAAGGAUCGGCUAACUCCGUGCCAGCAGCCGCGGUAAUACGGAGGAUCCAAGCGUUAUCCGGAUUUAUUGGGUUUAAAGGGAGCGUAGGUUGACAUAUAAGUCAGCUGUGAAAGUUUACGGCUCAACCGUGAAAUUGCAGUUGAUACUGUAUGUCUUGAGUGUACAAGAGGUGGGCGGAAUUCGUGGUGUAGCGGUGAAAUGCUUAGAUAUCACGAAGAACUCCAAUUGCGAAGGCAGCUCACUGGGGUACAACUGACACUGAGGCUCGAAAGUGUGGGUAUCAAACAGGAUUAGAUACCCGGGUAGUCC
rnacentral:rRNA from 1 species